GCGCCCGUAGCUCAGUUGGAUAGAGCGCGGGGUUGCGGACCCCGAGGUCACAGGUUCAAGUCCUGUCGGGCGUACCA
rnacentral:tRNA from 2 species